AUUAUUUGAUAAAAAAAAUUAUUAAUGAUGCUCUGGUUAAAGGCUAUAAGGUUUUGCAUAUUGGAGCUGUUCAAGUUGCUUUUAAACCACUAGCUAGGCUAGAUAGUACUAAUGCUUCCGUUUUGCUUCGUCUUCGUGAUCCUAGAUUUGUUGAUUUCCAGACUAGUAUUCUUGGUAUGAUACAAUCUUCUUUGUUUAAUGGACCAAUCCAUUUUGAUAUUUUCCCUGACUCACUUAUUUAUUUGGAUGAUGUUCGUAUUACUAAAGGAUUGACUUUAGAUGUUUUGACUUCUGGUUGUGACAUGGAAGAAGGUAGAAGACCUCUUGCUGUCAUCUACCGCACUUAUUACAAAUUGCUAAAAGACAAUCCAAAUCCUCACGCUGUUGUCAAAAGUUCUGGGAACUCUACUAUGUUAAUUCAAAGUUCUACACAAGAUGCUAGCAUAUAUGUUCCUAAAGUGAUGGGAUGGAAUGAAAUUGACGUCCCUAAUGAGUGGCUUUUAGAAAAUGUUUUCGAGCCUGCUAGAGUAGUAAAUGAUACCUCUAAUCUUGGUUCCAAUAUCUAACAAUAUUCAGAUGGAUCUGUUAAGAUUAGUUUUUCUGAUUUAAAUAUUUCUAUUAGAAGAGAAAGACCAUUAACUAUUAAUUAGGAGUGUAAAUUCUCUGCAAUGCAUUUCGUUCUUUUAUUUUCACUUUUUCCUUUUGCGCCGCUGCCUUCUUCAAAUCUUCUUGUCUUCUCUUCACGCCAUUCUUCACGCUUGCCUUCUUCAAUUCUUCUUGAAUCUUCAAUCCUUUCCUCUGUUUCUUUGUUUGCUUUUGCUUUCCUUCACAACACACACGGACCGAGAUCGAGAGAGACCUGAGAGUUGCUGCUGCUACGGUUACUGUCAAAGAAGUGAAGAACUCAAGAGAGAGCAAGAGUUCUAGAUUAUGAUUUGGUUAUUUCUGAAGCAGAUGGAGCAAAGGAAGUAGACGGCUAGGAAUUGUUGAAGCUUUCAAGCGACUGGACCACUUGGUGAAAUUGACAAAGAAGGUGGGAAAUAAGAUUGAGGCAGCAACUCUACACGUUAUUGGCAAAAAGGUUUUGGAAGAAAAUCUUUCAAAUUUCAAGAUUUUAAUAAAGUCGGCAUUCUCACUUUGGAAAGAUUUAAAGUCUAAAUUAAAUUUGACUUUAAGAAAAGAGAAGUUGACAAAAUCUUUUAUUUAGGAAAAGAAUCCAGAUUGAGUAUGUCACUUUAUUUUCAUCAUAACUUUCGGCUCAAAUAUCGGAUUGCGUUGAAUUUGGUGGCGUUGGAAAGCUAAUGAAAAAUGAAACAAAUAAGUCUGAAAUAGGUUUUUCCUAUUUCGGACUUUUACUAUGCCCAAAUUGCCCCGCAAUAAAAGAACGCAAUUCUGUGCGAAUUUGGAGUCUUUUUCUUACUAGGAUUGAAAUUUCUAAGGAUUUGUACAAUUAGGGGACCAUAUCAAUCAGAUUUCUUUCCAAAGCAAAUGCCUUCCAUGCACAAGUUCAUAUUCUUUCCAUAUAUACCUAGUGAUGGACGUGUGGAGCACAAAUCAGAUUGACAUGUCAUGAUUUCUUUCCAUAAUUUUUACCAAGACACAUGGAUUCAAGAUCUGAUUUAUUUCCA